rnacentral:rRNA from 1 species
AUUGCAGGCUGAAAUUACGCCUGCAUGAAGCCGGAAUUGCUAGUAAUGGCAGGUCAGCAUACUGCCGUGAAUACGUUCCCGGGCCUUGUACACACCGCCCGUCACACCAUGAGAGUUGGGGAUACCCGAAGCCUGUGAGCCAACUUUUAAAGAGGCAGCAGUCGAAGGUAGAAUCAAUGAUUGGGGUGAAGUCGUAACAAGGUACC